GAACGAGAGAGCCGUUUCCCUUCCUCCCCGAUUCCGAUAGCGGGGCUACAUCGCGGAACACCGCGGCCGUCGAAGCAGCGAGUCUCGCGGCGACGCUCGUGCCGAUUCUGGAAGUCGAGAGCCACGGAAGCGGUUUCACGCGACGAGCUUGGACGCGCCACAGCUGUCACGCACCAGCGAAUCGCCCACCACCCGUCGAACCGUCGACUCGAGGAACCAGAACCGCGACGAACGAACUGCCAUGCCGAGCACCGCGACCGCUGGCAACGCCAUCUGCACGGUGCAUGGAGGACGACGUAACGCUGAUCGCGAUCUUAUUGUGCCGCUCAUCGGACAAGCGUGGUAGUGAUGAUGCAGAUUGGACCACAAAAGCUGAUAUCAGAAUAUUAAUUGAAAAUUGGAUAAUAUCCAAGUUGUUUUCACGAGAAACAUUUUGAUUCCGUUAAAAAUGUUUUUAACCUCACUCUUGAAAAACGGAACUUGGAACUAUUACAAGAUCUUUUACGCACACACAUAGAUAUACGCGUCUGAUCAUGCAUCAUUGUACAAAUAUAGAUUGUAAAAAUAUAUAUAAUAUAUCACAAAGAAUAUU